rnacentral:rRNA from 1 species
UACGUAGGUGGCAAGCGUUGUCCGGAUUUACUGGGCGUAAAGGAUGCGUAGGCGGAUAUUUAAGUGAGAUGUGAAAUACCCGGGCUCAACUUGGGUGCUGCAUUUCAAACUGGAUAUCUAGAGUGCAGGAGAGGAAAGUGGAAUUCCUAGUGUAGCGGUGAAAUGCGUAGAGAUUAGGAAGAACAUCAGUGGCGAAGGCGACUUUCUGGACUGUAACUGACGCUGAGGCAUGAAAGCGUGGGGAGCAAACAGG